rnacentral:rRNA from 1 species
UACAGAGGAGCCAAGCGUUGUCCGGAUUGACUGGGCGUAAAGCGCACGCAGGCGGAUGCGCGCGUGGGGUGUGAAAUCUGGCCGCUUAACGGCCAGGCGCCAUCCCAUACGGCGCGUCUGGAGUGAUGCAGAGGUCGGUGGAAUUGCCGGUGUAGUGGUGGAAAUGCGCAGAUAUCGAGGAGGAACACCGGGUGGCCGAAGGCGGGUCUCUGGGCCGAUGACUGACGCUGAGGAGCGAAAGCGUGGGAGCGAACAGG